rnacentral:rRNA from 1 species
UACGUAGGGUGCGAGCGUUAAUCGGAAUUACUGGGCGUAAAGCGUGCGCAGGCGGUUGUGCAAGACAGAGGUGAAAUCCCCGGGCUUAACCUGGGAAUGGCCUUUGUGACUGCAUAGCUAGAGUGUGUCAGAGGGGGGUAGAAUUCCACGUGUAGCAGUGAAAUGCGUAGAGAUGUGGAGGAACACCGAUGGCGAAGGCAGCCCCCUGGGUCAAGAUUGACGCUCAUGCACGAAAGCGUGGGGAGCAAACAGG